ensembl:snoRNA SNORD19 small nucleolar RNA, C/D box 19
GAGGUAUGAGGAAAACAUCUAAACAGUCUGAAAUACCAUUGGAGACUGUAAGAUCCAACUCUGACCUCAGCCUAGGC